UAAAGUUAAAAUAAAAAAAAAACUAGAUUAAAAUAAAAAAACUAGAAUCCUCUGCAAGGGAGGGAGAAGGAAAAAAAAAACCCUGAGCUCCGGCCUCUGGCCUUCAUCGCUCACGCGCUGUACGCGCCACCGCAUACGGCAGUUGGAAGGAGAAAAGCCUCGAUUUUCCAGGCGCAGCCUAGGUAACAACGAGAAAUUCGGCGGUAAAUGCGCUGAUUACGACGUAAGAUGGAGCUGGAGUCACAGUGCUGAUGGAGAGCGACUAGAACGGCUCGAGAUGAAGAGGCACGACGAUUGGACGUUUGCGGCGUGAAGUUUUUGGAAACCCUAGGGUUUCCAGAUUCGAUUUAGGCACUGGGCCUUGCUAGUUUGGGCCUGGUUUGGGUAUUUGGGGCUGUUGGGUUUUAGGUGUUUGGGCUAAAGGUGUAACCGGGUAUAGGUUUUUUGGUUUAGAUUAGUUGUUUUACAAGUGUAACCAAGUUUAGGCUACCAGGCUUUUAGGCCUGUUUAUUUGUAAUUUGGACAUUUCAACAAUGACAUUUAUUUAUUUACAA